AAGCACGGCCACACCGCCUGGUUCACGCCCGAUCUCGUUUGAUCUCGGAAGCUAAGGUAGGUUGGGCCUGGUUAGUACUUGGAUGGGAGACCGCCUGAAUCCAGGUGCUGUAAAGC
rnacentral:rRNA from 1 species